CCUGAUCCAGCCAUGCCGCGUGAGUGAUGAAGGCCUUCGGGUUGUAAACCUCUUUUGUCGGGGACGAAACGGUCUGGGCUAAUACCACAGGCUCCUGACGGUUCCCGGCCAAUAACCCCCGGCUAACUACGGGCCCUCACCCUCGGUAAUAUUUCUGGGGCAAACGUUCAUCUGAAUUACUGGGCGUAAAGCGUGUGCAAGCCGCUUUCUCAAACCGAUGUGAAAUCCCCGGGCUUAACCUGGGAACUGCAUUUGAGACUGGUGGGAUUGAGUGUGGAAAAGGGAAAUGGAAUUCCAUGUGUAACAAUGAAAUGGGUAAAUGUGCGGAAGAACACCGAUGGCGAAGGCAAUCCCCUGGACCUGGGCUGACACUCAUGAUCAAAAACCUGGGGAGCCAACACGAUUAAAUACCCUGGUAAUCCACGCCCUAAACUAUGUCAACUGGUUGUUGGACGGCUUGUUAUUCUUUCACCAGGCUAACACGUGAACUUGAUCGCCAGUGGAGAAAUUUGCCCGGGGUUGAAACUCCAGGAUUUUUUGGGGGGGG
rnacentral:rRNA from 1 species